rnacentral:rRNA from 1 species
UACGUAGGGCGCAAGCGUUGUCCGGAAUUAUUGGGCGUAAAGAGCUCGUAGGCGGCUUGUCACGUCGGGUGUGAAAGCCCGGGGCUUAACCCCGGGUCUGCAUUCGAUACGGUCUAGCUAGAGUGUGGUAGGGGAGAUCGGAAUUCCUGGUGUAGCGGUGAAAUGCGCAGAUAUCGGGAGGAACACCGGUGGCGAAGGCGGCGAUCUGGGUCGAUACUGACGCUGAGGUUCGAAAGCGUGGGGAGCAAACAGG